rnacentral:rRNA from 1 species
GAUGAACGCUGGCGGCGUGCCUAAUACAUGCAAGUCGAGCGAACAGACGAGUAGCUUGCCUCUCUGAUGUUAGCGGCGGACGGGUGAGUAACACGUGGAUAACCUACCUAUAAGACUGGGAUAACUUCGGGAAACCGGAGCUAAUACCGGAUAACAUGUUGAACCGCAUGGUUCCACAGUGAAAGACGGUCUUGCUGUCACUUAUAGAUGGAUCCGCGCCACAUUAGCUAGUUGGUAAAGUAACGGCUUACCAAGUCAACGAUGCGUAGCCGACCUGAGAGGGUGAUCGGCCACACUGGAACUGAGACACGGUCCAGACUCCUACGGGAGGCAGCAGUAGGGAAUCUUCCGCAAUGGGCGAAAGCCUGACGGAGCAACGCCGCGUGAGUGAAGAAGGUCUUCGGAUCGUAAAACUCUGUUAUUAGGGAAGAACAGAUGUGUAAGUAACUAUGCACGUCUUGACGGUACCUAAUCAGAAAGCCACGGCUAACUACGUG